rnacentral:rRNA from 1 species
UACGGGGGGGGCAAGCGUUGUUCGGAAUUACUGGGCGUAAAGGGUGCGUAGGCGGCUCUCUAAGUCGGAUGUGAAAACUCUGGGCUCAACCCAGAGCCUGCAUCUGAAACUGGAGGGCUAGGGUUUUGGAGGGGAAAGCGGAAUUCCAGGUGUAGCGGUGAAAUGCGUAGAUAUCUGGAGGAACACCGGUGGCGAAGGCGGCUUUCUGGACAAAUACCGACGCUGAGGCACGAAAGCUAGGGGAGCAAACAGG